rnacentral:rRNA from 1 species
GACGAACGCUGGCGGCGUGCUUAACACACGCAAGUCGAGCGGAAAGGCCCUUCGGGGUACUCGAGCGGCGAACGGGUGAGUAACACGUGAGUAAUCUGCCCUUCACUCAGGGAUAACCGCGGGAAGCUGCGGCUAAUACUUGAUAUGACCACGUCUCGCAUGGGGUGUGGUGGAAAGCGUUUAGUGGUGAGGGAUGUGCUCGCGGCCUAUCAGCUUGUUGGCGAGGUAGUGGCUCACCAAGGCUUCGACGGGUAGCCGGCCUGAGAGGGUGACCGGCCACACUGGGACUGAGACACGGCCCAGACUCCUACGGGAGGCAGCAGUGGGGAAUAUUGGACAAUGGGCGAAAGCCUGAUCCAGCAACGCCGCGUGAGGGAUGACGGCCUUCGGGUUGUAAACCUCUUUCACCUCUGACGAAGCGCAAGUGACGGUAAGGGGAGAAGAAGGACCGGCCAACUACGUGCCAGCAGCCGCAGUAAAAC